UUGUACGGCAUUCUGUCUUUCAAUAGGACUAAAUUAUUCUAACAAAACUGAUACUAGGUAAAUUCUCCUUCAAGUCAAAUGUCUUGU
rnacentral:pre_miRNA from 1 species